CAGAGAAUAGUUUAAAAAGAAUUUUGGCUUUGGAUGCCAAUGGUGGGGGUUAAAAAAUUUCCCUUUUCUGA
rnacentral:tRNA from 1 species